rnacentral:lncRNA from 1 species
GGAAAAUAUUUAUUAUAAAAGAGACAAGUUCACCAAAACAUCCAGUCCAAGUUUAAUUUAGAAAAAAAUUUCUCAGUCCCCUGCUCAAGUUUGCUAGCAGUCGUAAGCUGGAGCGUGGUGUAUUCAAGGGCUUGGGGGAGAUUUAAGCUGUCUGUGUAAGCACCGUGACUACAGAUUUUGCAAUCCAAAGUUAUUUUUGCUUUUAAUUCUACUCCAGAAGAUCUGAAAGGUUAACUUUGAGCUCUUCCCACCAAAACUAGCCACUUGUAAUUGCAUCUGGAAAGACCACGAGUGGCGGAGAUAGUUUCUUGAGACCAGAAAGAGCCAAACGAAACCUCCCCAGAUGGGCAUCUGGGCACGGUGCUGGAAGGAUUGUUCCAUCUUGGUCUGAGAGAAAGCAGUGUGUCUGCAGGGGAGCUCAGGUGGGAAUUCAGCUCCUUGCAGGACCAGGGCCAUCCAUCAGCCGUUAGGGUGAUGACCCACCUAUGUCAGGUCCCUUCACAGCUGGUCCAACAGGUAUUUCACGCACUUUGUUUUAAAAGCUUGUCUGCAGGUGGAGGAAACCACCUGGCCAUAAAGGAUGUGCUCCUUACAGUUAUCUCUUGAAGAAGAAAAUAGGAAAAAGGAGCAUUUGGGGGAAAAAAGGAGCAGCCUCUAGAAGUGGUUGCAGAUGUCCAGCACACGGUGUGAGCGGAGGUCACGGUGCGAUGCCAACGAGCCUCUGCCCUCCUACUGCUCCUGCAGCACUGUGCAGCCCCUGUGGAUGUGCCACUGGUACAUCCAGUCAGCAGGGAGGGAUAUAAGGCAGCGGAUCCCCUCAGCUGGGAUCUCACCCAGAGCCUCCUCUGAACUGCUAAACACUCAUAUAGGUAAGACACGCACCCUGGAUGACAGUUUGAAGCACGUCAACCCUAUUCUGUUGGGAUUUAAAAUACCACAGAGAGGACCCUCACCACUGUGACUUCUCCUAAGCCCUUCCGUGAUGUCUCCUCCUGUGGCAGCCUGGGACAAUGCGAGGUGCGACCCCCAGCCCUGAGCAGCCAGGCCAGCAGGCUCUUGGUGUCUCGGUCCCUCGCUCACUACAAAGGAAGGACAGCAACAAUGAGUUUGCAAGAGCGUGUUCUGAGAUAAUUGGUCUUGCAGAAGUGCUUUGAAGAGGAUCGGCAUUAUAUAAAUGCCAUCUGACAGUCGAGUCAAAAGACUCCUGCUAAGAACAAAUUAAAACCACUUAACCUAGCGAGAAGUUACUCCUUCCAUUAUGAUAGCUGCUCUGUUCUGAUAAAAGCAAGAAUUCAAACAAGUUAAUGAUUUCAUCUCCUUGGCAUGGAGAUUACAGCACAGCUGCACAGCUGAGAUGUCACAAUAAAAGCAAAUGCUUACGAAAGGUUGUUCUUUAU